GUAGGUGAACCUGCGGAAGGAUCAUUAAAGAGAACUUGCCCUUCGGGGUUAACAGAUCUCCCACCCUUUGCUUACCAUACUCUUUGUUGCUUUGGCAGGCCCGCCCUGCGCCGCCGGCUUCAGGCUGGCCAGCGCCUGCCAGGGGAUUUUAAAAAACUCGUUGAUUUAGUGUCGUCUGAGUUACUUGAUAAUAGUUAAAACUUUCAACAACGGAUCUCUUGGUUCUG
rnacentral:misc_RNA from 1 species